rnacentral:piRNA from 1 species
UCAGAGAGAGCCCUAUAAGUACUUGU